rnacentral:rRNA from 1 species
UACGGAGGGUGCAAGCGUUAAUCGGAAUUACUGGGCGUAAAGCGCACGCAGGUGGCUGAGUCAGUCGAUUGUGAAAGCCCUGGGCUUAACCUGGGAAUUGCAGUCGAUACUACUCAGCUAGAGUAUGGGAGAGGGUAGUGGAAUUCCCGGUGUAGUGGUGAAAUGCGUAGAUAUCGGGAGGAACACCAGUGGCGAAGGCGACUACCUGGCCUGUUUCUUGACGCUGAGGCGCGAAAGCUAGGGGAGCAAACGGG